AUGUCGACCUCCGGUGCGCUCCCCAGCUCUGCCCUCAACUACAACAUCUCUGAACCCCGCACCAGGAUGAACUACGUUCUCUGGCGAGCUCAGGCCCGAUCCCAGAUCAUGGGUGCUGGCUUGUACAGCUACAUCAACAAAACUAUAGAUGAACCUCCCAAGACCAUCGUCGCGAAGGACAAGGAUGGCAAGGAUCAGGUGAUGCAAAACCCUGCCUAUGCCCCUUGGCUGGUCCAGGACCAGCAAAUCGUCGCCUACCUCCUCCGGAAUCUCUCCAAGGAGGUCCUCGUCCAGGUGGCAUCACUAGAGACGUCGCACGCGAUAUGGACGGCGCUGUCCACCAUGUUCGCUGCAGUCUCUCUCUCUCUCGCGCGCCAACAACCUUCGUGCCGCCCUCACCAACGCCCAGAAGGGCACCCAGUCUGCAUCAACAUACUUCGGCUACAUGCGAUCUCUCUCAGAUGA
rnacentral:rRNA from 1 species